ACCUGCCCAAGCACUGGCUGGCUGGCUGUGUGUCAUUCACCAAAGAGUCAAAGGCAGCAGUUCCACUCCAGACCGGCACACCAGGCUCGCGGCUGAGCUCAACUGAACUGAGAAAGGAACAAAUCAGGUCUUGGAGUGAUUCCAUUCAUGUCGCUCACUCACUAGUUCCGUUCUUUUGAAUGAACACAACACAACACUAGUGUAGGUCUGUACCGUUAUAAUCAAGAUCGAUUAAACUGUGUGUGACACUAUGCACUUCUCUGUAGACGACUAGAGUGAAAAGUCCACAAUUCUGUGUGUUCUUAAAAUUAUAAUUGUAGUGCAGUGUAUCAUGUUAAAGGUGAACCUUUCAAUUGCUGUUGUUUUCAUAGUUUUGUAAAGCUUGUUGCAGCAGAUCCUGUUCUACUCUCACUGAGCUUCUCUAUAUGACGCUCAUCUAUUGUGAGAAUAGAACUGUGUGUAAACUGUUGCAAUUUUCAGUUGUCAAAUAUUUUAAUGGUAAUACUAUGAUCACAUUGUCAACAUGUCUCUAAUGAGAUCUACCACAACCAUGAUCACCACAAUCCAGUUUGUCAUUUAGUGUUUAGAGAAUAUUUCUGUCAUCUCUCCUCUGUUUUUUUAAUUUUAUGGAAGCAUUUUUUAUUAUAAUUUUUUUUCUUCUUACUAGAAAGCUUUAUGGUCCUCAGGUCAUCAGUACAGAUCCAUCUUAAUCUACCAAUAAGAAAGCUUUUGACAGUGGAAGGUAAAAACAUCUCUUAAAACAGUUUCAUACCUCAAGCAGAACAGAAGCCUGUACUAUGAAGCUGGAUUUGAUCUUGGCCAAAUAACUUCUGGAUAACUCCUGGGUUUUCUGUUUGACGAAAGUGGAUUUCUUUCUAUCCAGGUCCGUUGCCCUGGUAACUUACACCUAACGCCAAACCCCGCUCCCGGGCAGGUUAUGAUUCAGGGUAACAUCUCAGCGGGUAUAAAGACCGCCCACAGACCAAUCGCAUCUCUUGGAAAAUGGCUUGCCCGCUUUGGCCGGAUCCUGUGGACAUCGGUGCACAGAUGGUAAGAUGAACGCUUCGCCGAGAGCAUUAUAUUUGUGAUUGUUAAAAUCUGUUUGAUUUCCCUAAUGAUGCUUUCUAUGAACGUUACAGGUUUUCCUUGGACGGCCUCAAUAUUCAGGUAGCAUGAAGUCUAGGCAAUGCACUAAUAUCUGCCAAGC